AGAUCUGUCACCUGGGAUCUGGUUAAAAUGCAGAUUCUGAUUGAGCAGGCCUGGGUGGGGCCUGAGACUCUGCAUUCCUCCAGAGCUCCCCAAGUCACACUGUG
rnacentral:miRNA from 1 species